GGCACCUUGACAGAGUGGUCUAUUGUACGGGUCUGCAAAACCUUGGUUCAUCGGUUCGAAUCCGAUAGGUGCCUCCA
rnacentral:tRNA from 1 species